CUCUCAUGCAGUGAUAUGCCCACUAAUUAUGAUGCCAGUUUCUUCAACAGACACAUACUAACCUUCUUUCAGUCCAAAGUCACCUUCCAAAUUACUAGACUUCUGGUUCUCCUAUACCUGAGGUAACAUCUUUUUACUUCUCCAUU